CGGAAGAGCACGUGCGCUUCGUGGAAGACAAACUUUCACAAAAGAAAAGCACGGAUGCUAUGAUGCGGCUAAUAAUGAAGUCAAAGGGCGCAAAAGGCAGUGUGGACGGCGUACUGCGUGGUAUGUUUUCUGACGAUCUAAUGUACCACUACAAUUUAGAGGGCGCAAGGAGAAGGAAUCCCUAUUAAAGCUAAAGUGCGUAGGGUUAGUUUUUGAUAUAUUUCCUGACAAGGAUAAAAACACUAUCUGAGGGAGCUCGGGAAAUUUGUGGCCUUAAGCCACAAUCGUUUUAAGCAAAAAAAGCAUAAACUUAAGGCAAAAUUAAUAUAAGUUUUCUUAUUAUUACUUACAUAUAUUAGUUU